rnacentral:rRNA from 1 species
AGUGAACGCUGGCGGUAGGCCUAGCACAUGCAAGUCGAACGGCAGCACAGUAAGAGCUUGCUCUUACGGGUGGCGAGUGGCGGACGGGUGAGGUAUACAUCGGAAUCUACUUUUUCGUGGGGGAUAACGUAGGGAAACUUACGCUAAUACCGCAUACGACCUACGGGUGAAAGCAGGGGAUCUUCGGACCUUGCGCGAUUGAAUGAGCCGAUGUCGGAUUAGCUAGUUUGCGGGGUAAAGGCCCACCAAGGCGACGAUCCGUAGCUGGUCUGAGAGGAUGAACAGCCACACUGGAACUGAGAAACGGUCCAGACUCCAACGGGAGGCAGCAGAGGGGAAUAUUGGACAAUGGGCGCAAGCCUGAUCCAGCCAUACCGCGUGGGUGAAGAAGGCCUUCGGGUGGUAAAGCCCUUUUGUUGGGAAAGAAAAGCAGCAGGUUAAUACCCCGCUGUUCUGACGGAACCCAAAGAAUAAGCACCGGCUAACUUCGU